rnacentral:lncRNA from 1 species
AAUACAGUACUAGUGUCCGCAGAUUAAGUAAUCACUACGUUAUUAGUGUUCACAGAGCAAAUUACUCUGUGACUACUACAUUAUACGAAUUUGCAGUAUUUAUUUAUUUAUAUGUAGAUAACGGUACAACACAUCAACAUUUAUUUAUUUCAUUCUAUUGUUACUUUGAAAAGAUAUCAUGCAUUUCAUUUUCCAGGUUUCGUGAAUGUAAAGUCACUCAACUCUUAUAAUGUAAUGGUCACUGAAUGUACUGAGGUGGACAAGAUAUUGUGCUUGCACAUAAAUCAUUAUCCAAUAAAAAUGCACGUCGUAUUACUGGGGAUGUAAGCUGACGCAGCUGCGGUGAUUGCUAAAUCAAGAACUGUAGCAUUCCAUGGUACAUCUAAUAAUUUUAAAACUUGUAAGAGACACUCUAGUUUAGUACUAGUUAAGCGAAAUGAAUUGAGAAGAAUCUUUAAACGGCAACCAUCAACACCACCACCACCAGAGGCAGCUUCAUUCUCUAUGAAAGAUCG